rnacentral:lncRNA from 1 species
CUGAAAUUAUAUCAUAUAGAUGUCACAUUUAUGAGUCUUUGCAGUUACAAAAUUCCUCCUGCAUAAGAAAGUUCUUAUUCUUCCCUUGAGAUUCAACUCAAAUGUCUCCUCUGUAACGCCUUUGUCAACAGCCCUCUGCUCCGGCUCCCCAGUGUUCUCUUUGUGCCUCUCUUACAUACAUCACAUCGUGUAAUGAUUAUUUAUUUACACGUCUGAUUCUCUUGCUAGUUUGUGAGCACUUGGAGGAGAAGAGAAACACAGAGCCCGUGUUUAUUCAUCUCUGUAACCCCGACAUCAGACAGCAUAAAUGCUCCAUGUGUGUUAAAACUGGGAGUAGUCGUGCAGCUUUUGGGGCUCUCCUGGUGUUUGCAGGACAAAGUUUGGCACUCUGAUUUCCUAGAUUGUAUGAUCACCGUAAAAGAGCAGACAAAGCAUAUACUUAUUGGCCCUGUUGUCAUCACUGAACCAAAAUCCACAUGGGAGAAGAUAAACUGCAGCAUCACUGUGGCUUGGAGCUGGGCCAGAAGGUGCAGGAUUCAGCAUAAGCAGAGAUCUCGGCAAUUUGACUCCCAGACAAGUUCAAGAAGUAGAAGAUGACAGAAGAGUGAGACAUUCUAAAAAUCUGGGGUUCCAGCCAAGCUCUUGAAAUCAUAUAAUUUGUAUUCAUCUCUCCACUCCUGAUAAGAAGGCUACAGGUAGAGAUUUUUAGAACUAAACUCCCUAUGCAGCUUUAGCUAGGACUAAAAUUUCUAUUUAUUUUUAGGUUUAAAGUUAACAUUUCUAGCUUUCAAAUUUUUCCUAUAAUUUGAUUCUUUGUUCGAUGAAGAAAAAACUCGGAAAUCAGAACUUGUUCUAAAAAGAGUACUAAUAAUGUGUAUACAUAUAUUUUUAAAUGUUCAGUCACGACUGAUAACAAUAUCCACUUUUCUGUAGUUCUAAUGUAAUGAGAUUGAAGACAUUCUAAUAUCUUAUUAUAUUUAGUGUUCCCAACUAUUUUUAACUUUAAACAUUCAAAAUCCAUGCAGAAAAUAUUUAAAUGUCUUCUUUAUGAUUGGAGUUCUGCAUAAGAAUUUAUUUGAAAAUAAUUUCCACUUCUUUAAAAAUGUAAAACCACCACUUUAGAAUACUUCCUUUUUCCAUUAUAAAAGUACCGUAUUCUCAUUAAAAAUACUUAGGGAAUGCAAAAGAGUUAAAACAUCAAUAAUCCCAGCUACACACAGCCACUGUUAAUGUCUGGUGUUUUCUUUUUUUAAAGUUUUCCCCCAUAUAUAUUUUCGAAUACAUUUUUAUAAUCACAUUGUAUAUGCAAUUGUGCCAUGUCUUAAUAUUAUAUCAUAUGUAUUUUUCAAAGUUGUAUUAUUUCUCUGGUUAAGAAUAUUAAAAACAGUUUUUGCUAAAGUAACCUUUUAAGUUACUUUUGUUUUGUUAUUAUGAGAAUAUAAAAUGAAAAUAGGAAGUAUCCUAUAGUCUGUUCCUCCCAACAAGCUCUCCUCCUGUCACUCCCUGGUGAAAACCACUUUUAAGAGUCUCAGGUAUCCUUCCAGAAAUUUCCAGGCAUAUAAAAGUGUAUUCUUAUAUAAUGUAACAUUUCCUACAUUAUAUUUUAUCUACAUAUGUGUAUAUAUAUAUACAGUGAGAGAAUCAUUCAUACUUUAACUUAAUAAAAUGUUUUAGGGGUUUCCCUUUCA